rnacentral:misc_RNA from 1 species
GAAAUGCGAUAAGUAGUGUGAAUUGCAGAAUUCAGUGAAUCAUCGAAUCUUUGAACGCACAUUGCGCCCCUUGGUAUUCCAUGGGGCAUGCCUGUUCGAGCGUCAUUUGUACCCUCAAGCUCUGCUUGGUGUUGGGUGUUUGUCCCCGUCUCCGCGCGUGGACUCGCCCCAAAGUGAUUGGCAGCCGGCGUACUGGUCCCGGAGCGCAGCACAUGUCGCGCAAACGAGUGCCUUGGUACGGCGGCGUCCAUAAGCCCCUCUCUCACGCGCUUGACCUCGGAUCAGGUAGGGAUACCCGCUGAACUUAAGC